CCACUACAAACGUUCACUGCCUCGAUCGUUUCUACCUCCACUACGUCAUUUUAUGCCACCACCACAUCGAUUUCCUCCACCUCGACCACAUGUUUUUAAGCCAUCACCACCUCAAUCUUUAUCACCUCGUCGACCACAUCAAACAAAAUCACCAUCUCCAUAGAACUAUAUAUAAUUCACCUCCGGCACCAUAUCCACCAUCUCCAUCUCUGCCACCUCGACGUUCCUAACAUUCACCUUUUAUAUCAUCUCCGUUUAAAGUUGUAAAUCCACGGUAUUACUAGGUGAGCGGGUCAGUCCUGUAAAAAUAAAAAAUUGCUCGCUCUCCCUUAAAUAUACGUGUAGGAGGGAAAGUGCACCUGUAUAUAUGGUUCUCUAUAUAUCCUUUUCUCUUUGAACCGAUUGGAAGUGUAUUAUUCUAUCCAAGUAUUUAUGAUUGUUUUCACAUAAAUUAGCUUAUCUUAUAAUUCAAAUUGUGACAUGGAAAUAUUUGUUUCGUUUGAGGAAGUAUUGAGAAAAUAUGAUUUUCUAACUUUUCUAUAUUGGGGGAGGGGAGGGUGAGUGGUUCUGAUCAUUCUUAUAUAUUCUGCGUAUUGUAGUUGUUCAUGAAUUCAAUAUAUGUAGUAUUGAAUAUGUAUAUAUCCAUGUAUAGUAAUUUCCAUUUGUACUUCAAGAGACUGCUUCAUUGAAUUCAUUUUAUUAAUUCACCACAUAUGAGAAGUGAUGCAAAGAAAAAAGAAGGUAAAGAGAAAAAACUUGCUAAGUUAUUAAUGUGUAGAAAUAAUUCGACUCAGAAGAUCUUAAAUUCUUUGAGAUUGAAAGAGAAUAGAAGAGGGACAAAGAAAGGAACUAAUGAAAAUUACAUUUUUUGCAUCUCCAGAUUAACGUUAAAUCGAUACUAAUAAAAAUUUUAUCUACUCUCACAGAACAACUUUAUUGAAAAUUUGCAAAAAAAAAAAAAAAAAUCAAACCCUUAUGGUUAGCGAGAACUGACCUUUUGGUUUUGUUUCAGACCGGAAAAAAAUUUACUCAUAAUUUAAUUGGGCCUUAUCUUCAAUUGUUGGAAACCAUUUUGCAAAUUUGAAUUCAAAAUUUGAUGAGUUUUGACAACUGAUUUGAGGUGUAUUCCGAUUGAAAUUUCAGUUGAAACUCAAGCUUCUUAGAUUUGAAGAAUUCGAAUUUCUUGGUAGUCUUGAUUCUAUUAACUUUUGUUUUUCUUUUUCUUUAGCUAAUUGAUAGAAUUAAUUAAGCUUCCAUUCUUUCCAUUAAAAUGUCAAUUGUUAACUCUGAUUAUAGAGGAGAGACAUUGAGACGGGGAGAGAGGAACAAGGAGAAUGGGUGUCUGAUUUAAUAUUUUUAAUGUAUAUCUAUUUUUAAUACUUUUGGGAGGGGAUUAAAAAAAAUAAAAUAAAAAAUAAAAAAAUUUCUUUCCCUCUUAUGCGCUAGUUUGGGAGAAUGAAAAUACUGCAUUCGCCACGUCACAAUUUAGGAUAGUAUUAAAUUCACCCCAAACAAAAAUAGAAAGAAUAUAGGUCGUCCGUUUAGUUAAGAUGUGUAAAUGACUUUUUCGGACAAAUUUAAUGAGGUAUUUAUGCAUUAUCUCUUUUUUUAAUGCGUUAUUUGCAACAAAAAAUUUCUCGUCCCUAAUAUUUCGGACGAACAACUUAAUAAUUAGAGAUGUUUCAUGUUUGAACCCAUUAUAAAAAAAUAGAGCAAAAAUAAAAUGUAAUUUUAAAUUCCACCUUGUGUACUAAGAACAAAAAGGCAAAAGACACUAGAAAUUCCAAGCUAAUGUAAAUACGUAAAGGAAUUUAAAGUGAUGGCACAAAGUUAAAAGAAUGGUUCUGAACCAAAAAAUAGAGAUGAAUUUUUCAUUUUUUAUUCGUAAUAAAAGUUAGCGCUCGUACUUAGUAUUCAUAUAUGAAACUUUAAAGCUACUCCCUCCAUUCAUUUUACUUGUCCAAUAUUAAUUUUGUACACUUCUUAAUAAAUAAUAAAUAAAAUAUAUAAUUUAUCAUGAUAUCCAUAUUAAUUGAUAAAUUUUUAAUGGAUUUGAGAAAUAAUUUGAAAUGAAUAAAUAAUAAAAUAGAUAUAACAUAAAAAAAGAAAUUGUCUUUUUUUGAAGUGCUAAAAAUAAUAAGUAAAAAUAAAAAUUUAUUUUUAAAAUACUGAAUAAGUAAAGUGCACGGAGGUAGUAUUUUACUAUCUCCUUAAAUGGAAAAAAGGUAACUCUGUCGAAUACAUAUAGCGAAAAAAAAAAGAGGAAAGAAUUUAUAAGGAGACACGUAUCAAAAGAGUGACAACUAAACUAGUUUUAUAGGAAAUUGUUUGAGAGUUUUAAACAAACAUCCAUGCCUUUGUUAUUAUUCCAUAUAUAAGGGCAACCACUUGUUGAACCUUGCUAAACACAAUCAAAGUUAUAAGCAUAGAGUUAACUAUGAGAAUCCCUGGGUAUCUUGUCCCGUGGUUUCAUGUUGUUUUUGCUUUAACUUCUUGCUUUAUAGCUGUUGGUGUAUCUUUAGAUUAUGUGCUAUCCAUAAAUGCCAUUUCGUUAUCUCCCCACAAUUACGAAUCAUUACAAUGUUGGUGUCUCUUUAGAUUAUGUGCUAUCCAUAAAUGCCAUUUCGUUAUCUCCCCACAGUCACGAAUUAUUACAGGUUUCAUCACCUUCAACUUCACCAUCUCUAUCUCCACUUUCACCUCUGCCUCCAAUUCCUUUGAUCCCACCUUCAAUGCCUCCAUCUCUGUCUCCUUCUCCGUCUCCAUCUCCACAUCCACCUCGAUCAUCUCCACCUCCACCUCCACCUCCAUCACCGUCUCCGCCUUCACCUCCAUCACCUCGGUCUCCACAUCAACCUCGAUCAUCUCCACCUCCACCUCCACCUCCAUCACCUUCUCCGCCUUCACCUCCACCUCCACCUCCACCUUCACCUCCACCCCCACCGUCGUCUGUCUCUCCGUCUCCACCUCCACUUCUAUCAUCUCCACCUCCACCUCCACCUCCACCAUCGUCUCUCUCUCCGUCUCCACCUCCACCUCAAUCAUCUCCACCUCCACCUCCGCCUCCGCCUCCAUCUCCAUUCCCACCACGUCUUCCCAAAUAUAGAUCACCACCGCCACCUCCAUCUCCAUCACCUCCGCGCCACUACAAACCAUCACCGCCUCGAUCGUUUCCACCUCCACCACGUCAUUUUAUGCCACCAACACAUCGAUUUCCUCCACCUCGACCACAUGAUUUUAAGCCAUCACCACCUCAAUCUUUAUCACCACGUCCACCACAUCAAACAAAAUCACCAUCUCCAUAGAACUAUAUAUAAUUCACCUCCGGCACCAUAUCCACCAUCUCCAUCUCUGCCACCUCGACGUUCCUAACAUUCACCUUUUAUAUCAUCUCCGUUUAAAGUUAUAAAUCUACGGUAUUACUAGGUGAGCGGGUCAGUCCUGUAAAAAGAAAAAAUUGCUCGCUCUCCCUCAAAUAUACGUGUAGGAGGGAAAGUGCAC
rnacentral:lncRNA from 1 species